rnacentral:rRNA from 1 species
GAUGAACGCUGGCGACGUGCCUAACACAUGCAAGUCGAGCGUGAUUUAUGAGGACGAAACUUCGGUCUAGGAAUCAUAAUGAAAGCGGCGGACGGGUGAGUAACGCGUAGGCAACCUGCCCUUAACACAGGGAUAGCCUCGGGAAACCGGGAUUAAAACCUGAUGAUGCCAAAGAGUCACAUGGCUCGUUGGCCAAAGAUUUAUCGGUUAAGGAUGGGCCUGCGUCUGAUUAGUUUGUUGGUGGGGUAACGGCCUACCAAGACUACGAUCAGUAGCCGAACUGAGAGGGUGAUCGGCCACAUUGGAACUGAGACACGGUCCAAACUCCUACGGGAGGUAGCAGUGGGGAAUAUUGCACAAUGGGCGAAAGCCUGAUGCAGCAACGCCGCGUGAGCGAUGAAGGCCUUUGGGUCGUAAAGCUCUGUCCUUGGGGAAGAAACAAAUGACGGUACCCAAGGAGGAAGCCCCGGCUAACUACGUGCCAGCAGCCGCGGUAAUAC